rnacentral:misc_RNA from 1 species
GAUGAAGAACGUAGCGAAAUGCGAUAAGUAAUGUGAAUUGCAGAAUUCAGUGAAUCAUCGAAUCUUCGAACGCACAUUGCGCCCCUUGGUAUUCCGAGGGGCAUGCCUGUUCGAGCGUCAUUAUAACCCCUCAAGCUCAGCUUGGUGUUGGGGCCUGCCGCACGGGCAGCCCUUAAAAUCAGUGGCGGUGCCAUCUGGCUCUAAGCGUAGUAAUUCUUCUCGCUAUAGAGUCCCGGUGGAUGCUUGCCAUUAACCCCCAAUUUUCUAUGGUUGACCUCGGAUCAGGUAGGGAUACCCGCUGAACUUAAGCAUAUCAAUAAGCGGAGGA